AGACCCGAAACCCGGUGAUCUAGCCAUGGGCAGGUUGAAGGUUGGGUAACACUAACUGGAGGACCGAACCGACUAAUGUUGAAAAAUUAGCGGAUGACCUGUGGCUGGGGGUGAAAGGCCAAUCAAACCGGGAGAUAGCUGGUUCUCCCCGAAAGCUAUUUAGGUAGCGCCUCGUGAAUUCAUCUCCGGGGGUAGAGCACUGUUUCGGCUAGGGGGCCAUCCCGGCUUACCAACCCGAUGCAAACUGCGAAUACCGGAGAAUGUUAUCACGGGAGACACACGGCGGGUGCUAACGUCCGUCGUGAAGAGGGAAACAACCCAGACCGCCAGCUAAGGUCCCAAAGUCAUGGUUAAGUGGGAAACGAUGUGGGAAGGCCCAGACAGCCAGGAUGUUGGCUUAGAAGCAGCCAUCAUUUAAAGAAAGCGUAAUAGCUCACUGGUCGAGUCGGCCUGCGCGGAAGAUGUAACGGGGCUAAACCAUGCACCGAAGCUGCGGCAGCGACGCUUAUGCGUUGUUGGGUAGGGGAGCGUUCUGUAAGCCUGCGAAGGUGGCCUGUGAGGGUUGCUGGAGGUAUCAGAAGUGCGAAUGCUGACAUAAGUAACGAUAAAGCGGGUGAAAAGCCCGCUCGCCGGAAGACCAAGGGUUCCUGUCCAACGUUAAUCGGGGCAGGGUGAGUCGACCCCUAAGGCGAGGCCGAAAGGCGUAGUCGAUGGGAAACGGGUUAAUAUUCCCGUACUUGGUGUUACUGCGAAGGGGGGACGGAGAAGGCUAUGUUGGCCGGGCGACGGUUGUCCCGGUUUAAGCGUGUAGGUGUGUGUUCCAGGUAAAUCCGGUUCACUUUAACACUGAGGCGUGAUGACGAGGCACUACGGUGCUGAAGCAACAAAUGCCCUGCUUCCAGGAAAAGCCUCUAAGCAUCAGGUAACAUCAAAUCGUACCCCAAACCGACACAGGUGGUCAGGUAGAGAAUACCAAGGCGCUUGAGAGAACUCGGGUGAAGGAACUAGGCAAAAUGGUGCCGUAACUUCGGGAGAAGGCACGCUGACACGUAGGUGAAGUGAUUUACUCACGGAGCUGAAGUCAGUCGAAGAUACCAGCUGGCUGCAACUGUUUAUUAAAAACACAGCACUGUGCAAACACGAAAGUGGACGUAUACGGUGUGACGCCUGCCCGGUGCCGGAAGGUUAAUUGAUGGGGUCAGCGCAAGCGAAGCUCCUGAUCGAAGCCCCGGUAAACGGCGGCCGUAACUAUAACGGUCCUAAGGUAGCGAAAUUCCUUGUCGGGUAAGUUCCGACCUGCACGAAUGGCGUAAUGAUGGCCAGGCUGUCUCCACCCGAGACUCAGUGAAAUUGAACUCGCUGUGAAGAUGCAGUGUACCCGCGGCAAGACGGAAAGACCCCGUGAACCUUUACUAUAGCUUGACACUGAACAUUGAGCCUUGAUGUGUAGGAUAGGUGGGAGGCUUUGAAGCGUGGACGCCAGUCUGCGUGGAGCCGACCUUGAAAUACCACCCUUUAAUGUUUGAUGUUCUAACGUGGACCCGUGAUCCGGGUUGCGGACAGUGUCUGGUGGGUAGUUUGACUGGGGCGGUCUCCUCCUAAAGAGUAACGGAGGAGCACGAAGGUUGGCUAAUCCUGGUCGGACAUCAGGAGGUUAGUGCAAUGGCAUAAGCCAGCUUGACUGCGAGCGUGACGGCGCGAGCAGGUGCGAAAGCAGGUCAUAGUGAUCCGGUGGUUCUGAAUGGAAGGGCCAUCGCUCAACGGAUAAAAGGUACUCCGGGGAUAACAGGCUGAUACCGCCCAAGAGUUCAUAUCGACGGCGGUGUUUGGCACCUCGAUGUCGGCUCAUCACAUCCUGGGGCUGAAGUAGGUCCCAAGGGUAUGGCUGUUCGCCAUUUAAAGUGGUACGCGAGCUGGGUUUAGAACGUCGUGAGACAGUUCGGUCCCUAUCUGCCGUGGGCGCUGGAGAACUGAGGGGGGCUGCUCCUAGUACGAGAGGACCGGAGUGGACGCAUCACUGGUGUUCGGGUUGUCAUGCCAAUGGCACUGCCCGGUAGCUAAAUGCGGAAGAGAUAAGUGCUGAAAGCAUCUAAGCACGAAACUUGCCCCGA
rnacentral:rRNA from 1 species